UACGUAGGGACCAAGCGUUGUUCGGAUUUACUGGGCGUAAAGGGCGCGUAGGCGGCAAUUCAAGUCAUCUGUGAAAUCUCCGAGCUUAACUCGGAACGGUCAGAUGAUACUGUUUUGCUAGAGUACAGAAGGGGCAAUCGGAAUUCUUGGUGUAGCGGUGAAAUGCGUAGAUAUCAAGAGGAACACCUGAGGUGAAGACGGGUUGCUGGGCUGAUACUGACGCUGAGGCGCGAAAGCCAGGGGAGCGAACGGG
rnacentral:rRNA from 1 species